UAACUUGUUCAUAAAAAAAUUGCGAAAUUUUAACCCAACUCUCAUUUAUAUUCCUAAGUAUUCAGCUAAUAAAAAGAUAAUCGUUGUCAACAUAUUUAAACUACCUGCAUAAACGAUGACCUAAAUUAGAGAAGUUUAUGUAGAUGGAGUAACCGACGAAAAAUGAAGUGUAGAAAUCAUAAUACAUUUUCAUAAAUCAAGAACUGUUUUUUUUGCAAAAUCUGCCUCUAGUAGAAUGUGAUUGAAGGUGUCUGAUGAAAUCUCUCCUCCCUCUCUGUUUAUCAUCUUUCCAAGUCAUUACUAAUGCUCGGCAUAAAAAGCAAAUACUGCAAUUAUAUUCCAAUUCCUCAAACUAACCAAAAAGUUAGCUUCUAUCUGCAUAAACAAUCAAGGAGUAUAUACACAUUUAUCAUUCUUCAGUUAAUUAUUGAGAAUGACAACAAACUCUUUAGAAACUGGAAUUAUAUUUCGAUUAAAGAUAAGAGUAUUGCAAAAAAUGAAACAAUAAAAAAUAGUCAGUUCCUCAAAAUAGAGGGAAAAUGUUAUGUGAUAUAUAAAAGAUAUCAGAAAGCACACAUUUACAUCAUCAUAACAAUAGAAAAGGGGCAUCUAAAUAUGAAGAAAUAGUUUUGAGAUAAAAAAUAAAAAAAUACUACACAACACACAUUUGACGACAAUAUAUAGGAUUAUCACAAUAUGUAGGGGUGAGCAAGUCGGACCCAUCAACCCGUCAUACCCAUCAAAACUGUGAAAAACCGGCCUGUUAGGACCGGACGGAUAGAUCCAUCCAUAGGAUUGGGUCCUAAAAUGGUGAAGAACCGUGGGUUUAGGUCUAAAACGGGUUCAAUUUUUUUAAUACCCGUGAAACCCGUCCCGACCCGCCAUACAAAACGACGUCGUUUUGUUUUACAUUAUAUAGUGUAAUAAAUUAAUAAUAUUAAUUAAUAAAUAAAAUAUCUCUAGUGUAUCAAAUACAUAAAUAAACUAAACUAUAAUUGUGGAAGUAAUUCUUAUAAAGAUUACAAAAAUCUCUAAGAAAAGGCAGGGGAAAAAAUAUAUAUAUACAAGAGUCAAUACACGGUAGAAACAAAAGGAAGAAAAUAAUAGAAGAAAAAAGGAAAGAAUUUUGUCUUUUGAAGAAUAUAUAUAUAUAUAUAUAUAUAUAUAUAUAUAUAUAUAUAUAUAUAUAUAUAUAUAUAUAUAUAUAUAAAGGAGAAGAAAGACGGGGAAUCAUACGAUCAAGCUUGGAAGAAUUAGGUUUGUUUCAUACUUUUCUUUUUUCUUAUAAUCUGCUGUAUGUUUUUUUCUUUUGAAGUUAAUAACCUAUAUUAUAAACUUAUGAUUUUAUGGAGCUAAAAUGUCGAAUGGCUUGGUUAUACUUGAAAAUGUUAUUUUUAUUUUAUUUAAAUUUUGUCUUUUAAGUUUUGAAUUAGUUACUUUUAGUCUUAUAAUGGAUUUUAUGGUUAAAACUUGUAUUAGUUUUUAUUUACUCUUGACAUUUACAUUAUUUAUGUCUGGUUUUAAUUUAAGAUUUUAGAUUAUUCAUUUUAAUUUCUAAUUAUUCUCGCGUAAAACUUGAAUAUUAUCAAAAAAAAAAAUGGUUUAGACGAUAACGGGUUUCUACCCGUAAAGGUUGGGUCCUACUACAAACCCGUCAUGGACCCGCCUAUCGUAAACCCGUUGAAAACCCACAAGUUUGGUUCUUCAAAAUCAAGAACCGUUGUUAGACGGGACGAGGGCGGGUUUUGAUAGAACCCGCGGGUUUAUGACCCGCGCACACCCCUAGCAAUAUGUGUUCAUUCAAAGAAGUACAAAAGAAAAAAAUAUAGUAAACUAAAAUUUUUCAAUCUAUUCAAAAAGAAAGCAGGAAAAUCCAUAACCCAAUGUGUACUCUACCCAUACCAAACACAGUCACAAUUCACAAACACAGAGAUGAGCAACCCAACACACAUUAGCGCACACUACUAACACACACACAUAAAUUGCACUGCAUGAACCGGUUAACACACUUUAGAGUAGACACAUUUUCUCCUGUUAUAUGAGGAAAAAAUAUCGGAAAAAAAAAUCCACAUGAUAAGUGAAUUUCAAGAAAAUAUAAUAUACGGACAUACUAUUAAAUUUUACAGCAAUGUUUGAGAAGGCGGAUCUUUAACUGACUGCAACAACAUCAAUCAACAUAGAGAGAAAAUCAAACACACGAUAAGAUGAAACAUAACACAGAAUAGAGAGAAAUAAAAAAAAUAACCAUAACCGAACAUAUUUCUUGUCAAGGUCUUCAAACUCCUAAAUUAUGUUUCGCCUAGACAUAAUGUUUUCGUAAAAACUCAUCCAAUCGUCAAAUCUCAGCCUAGAAUACAUAUAACGAAUAUAUUAAAAAGAAAAAAAGAACGCCACUUAGAGCAGAGCAACAACCAAAUGAAACCGACUAUAAUUGCAUAUUUGAUAUUGUACAUAAAUUAGUAUUUUGCUUAAUAAUCACCCAAACGACCAAAAAUGACUGCAAUUAUUAGAUGAGUAGAAACGAACCAUGAGAGACUUGGUGAAGGAUAGACAAAACAUCCAACCGAGCGGUAUCAUUGCCGGAAGGGAUUGAAGGGCUUGCAUGUCAAUUGUUGUCCUAUAAAAGACGCCAAUCAAUAUUGAGAAGUAUUCUCCAUAAACCGACAUGUUACAGACUUUCCUUCUGCGAAAUAAUGCAAAGACAAUAAAUUGGGAAACCAUAGCUACUAAAUAGAUCGACACAUUUAAAAUUAAUAAAUAAAAAGAAAUCAUUUGAAUAAAAUUAAAACUGGAAAAGAACCACAUCCUAAAAAAAUUAUGAAUAUCAAGUUAAACCAAUUAAUGUAGAAACCCAUGGAAUUUUUCCAAUAGCCAACAAACAAUGUCGAGUCUCUAAUCACAAACAUCAUCUUCCCUGUCUCAGUGUAGUAAGCAAUACACGAUGAAAAUAGAAUCUAAAAUACCUGCGCUCUUUGUUGGGAUUAAUUCACACGCCAUCUACUACAUGAAUAAUAAGCAUUAAAAAGUCCGAUUUAACAAAUUCGAAUAAAAGAUUCACAAUGAUUCAAAAAAAUUCAGUUCAAUAAUAUCAGAAAGAAACAAAUAAAAACUAAGAAAAUGAGUGAAUACCGUUUUAUAUUGAUUAUGGCACUGGUUUGAGGAGGCAAUUUGAAUUCUUCAGCAGCAAAAUCUCAGAUUUCACUGGGCAGCAUACAAAGUCCUAAUAACUGGUGCAAUGUCGAAGAAUGCAAAAAAAAAAAAUGAAAAAUCUCAUAAGCCAUGACAAAUUGCAGGACACGAUCGAUGAUAUGGGAGAAGAAUAAUAAUGAGAAGACAAAACGUUUACAUGAGUGAAAACGUGGGAGUUAUU
rnacentral:lncRNA from 1 species